CUCCUCUGCAUCCUACUCCCCAUUGUAUCAGCAUGUUUUAGAAAAAAGAAAAAAAGACUCUCAAUUUCCUAAAUAUAAAAGGGAAUUUGGUGCUGUAGGAUAACGUGACCUUUUCUUUAAAAGCUAUGCUAUUUUAAAAAUCUUUCCCGUCCCUCUUUCUGAACUCCCUCCAAGACUGAAAAAUCUUUGUUCAACAAAUAUUAAGUGCCUGCUACGUGCCAGACAUGAUUCAAGGUCUUGGGGAUACGGCAGAGAACAAACAUCGUCCCUGCUCCCAGAGUUGUACCCCCAAAGCAUACCAGCAUGGGGACCAAGAGACAGGAUCCAAUGGCCAUCUGUUUCACCAACAGGACAAAAGGAGCUCCCACACUGAUCCGCGUCUGCAGAACACAGCUGUGUGGAGACAGGAAGUCAAGAACCAAUGGCCAUCUACUUCACCAGUGGGACCACAGGCUCUCCCAAGAUGGCCCAGCACUCUCAGAGCAGCCUUGGAACUGACUACACCCUCUGUGGAAGGUAGGGAGGAAACACUGUUUUUGCUAAACUCUCCCCUGAGCUGCCAGCACGUGUACCCAACUGUCUAGCGGACGCCUCUGCUAAGAUGGCUCUUAGAUAUCUCCAGCGUAACGUCUACAAAACAGCACUCUCGACGCCCCUGCCCAAACUUAGCUCAGCAAAUGGGCACCAUCUCACCAACUGAUCAAGCAAGAACUUAGGAGUCAACCCUGAUUCAGUCCUCACAACAGCAUGUCUGGCUCCUUCUCCUCAUCGCCAGGUAUUGGCUAGACCUGAGUCCUCAGAUGUCAUAAACAACAUGUCCAACACUGGCUGGGUCAAGGCCACCAUUGGCAGUGUGUUUUCUUCCUGGCUUCAGGGA
rnacentral:lncRNA from 1 species